rnacentral:misc_RNA from 1 species
ACCUAAACCGGAUUGACGGGGAAAGCCCGCAUCCCGAUUUUUCAUCGGGAGAGGACUUGUACCAAAAAGCCGGGCUACCU